AGUGAACGCUGGCGGCAGGCCUAACACAUGCAAGUCGAACGGCCAGAUAGUAAGAUUUCGCCCUUACGGGUGGCGAGUGGCGGAUGGGUGAGGAAUACAUCGGCAUCUACUAUUUCGUGGGGGACAACGUAGGGACAGUUACGCUAAUACAGAAUACGACCUACGGGUGAAUGCUGGGGAUCUUCGUAGCUUGCGUGACUGUAUGAGCCGAUGUCGGAUUAGCUAGUUGGCGGGGUAAAGGCCCACCAAGGCAACGAUCCGUAGCGGGUCUGAGAGGAUGAUCAGCCACACUGGAACUGAGACACGGUCCAGACUCCUACGGGAGGCAGCAGUGGGGAAUAUUCGGCAAUGGGCGCAAGCCUGAUCCAGCCAUGCCGCGUGAGUGAAGAAGGCCUUCGGGUUGUAAAGCCCUUUUGUUGGGAAAGAAAAGCAGCAGAUUUAUACGCGGCUGUUCUGACGGUACCCAAAGAGUAAGCACCGGCUAACUUCGUG
rnacentral:rRNA from 1 species